rnacentral:rRNA from 1 species
AUGUCGUCGGUGUUCAGCGGCGAUGAGACGGCGCCCUUCUUCGGCUUCCUCGGCGCCGCCGCCGCGCUCGUCUUCUCAUGCAUGGGGGCGGCCUACGGGACGGCCAAGAGCGGGGUCGGGGUGGCGUCCAUGGGGGUCAUGCGGCCAGAGCUCGUCAUGAAGUCCAUCGUGCCCGUCGUCAUGGCGGGUGUGCUCGGAAUCUACGGCCUCAUCAUCGCCGUCAUCAUCAGCACCGGGAUCAACCCCAAGGCCAAGCCCUACUUCCUCUUCGACGGCUACGCUCACCUCUCCUCCGGGCUCGCCUGUGGCCUCGCGGGGCUCGCCGCCGGCAUGGCCAUUGGCAUUGUCGGUGAUGCUGGAGUCAGGGCUAACGCGCAACAACCAAAGCUGUUCGUGGGUAUGAUCCUUAUCCUCAUUUUCGCAGAAGCACUUGCCCUUUACGGUCUCAUCGUGGGCAUCAUCCUGUCGUCCCGUGCCGGCCAGUCCCGUGCGGAUUAG